rnacentral:rRNA from 1 species
GCAAGUCGAGCGGUAGAGAGAAGCUUGCUUCUCUUGAGAGCGGCGGACGGGUGAGUAAUGCCUAGGAAUCUGCCUGGUAGUGGGGGAUAACGUUCGGAAACGGACGCUAAUACCGCAUACGUCCUACGGGAGAAAGCAGGGGACCUUCGGGCCUUGCGCUAUCAGAUGAGCCUAGGUCGGAUUAGCUAGUUGGUGGGGUAAUGGCUCACCAAGGCGACGAUCCGUAACUGGUCUGAGAGGAUGAUCAGUCACACUGGAACUGAGACACGGUCCAGACUCCUACGGGAGGCAGCAGUGGGGAAUAUUGGGCAAUGGGCGAAAGCCUGAUCCAGCCAUGCCGCGUGUGUGGAGAAGGUCUUCGGAUUGUAAAGCACUUUAAGUUGGGAGGAAGGGCAGUAAAUUAAUACUUUGCUGUUUUGACGUUACCGACAGAAUAAGCACCGGCUAACUCUGUGCCAGCAGCCGCGGUAAUACAGAGGGUGCAAGCGUUAAUCGGAAUUACUGGGCGUAAAGCGCGCGUAGGUGGUUAGUUAAGUUGGAUGUGAAAUCCCCGGGCUCAACCUGGGAACUGCAUUCAAAACUGACUGACUAGAGUAUG